AGACUAACUAGGAUUCCCUUAGUAACGGCGAGUGAAACGGGAUAAGCCCAACUUGAAAAUCUGCAGGCCUUGUCUGCCGAAUUGUAGUCUAUAGAAGCAACCUCUGAGGCGCGCCUGGAUUAAGUUCCCUGGAAGGGGACGUCAGAGAGGGUGAGAACCCCGUCAUCUAUGGCUGCCGUCUCUUCACGAGAUGCUCUCGCAGAGUCGGGUUGGUUGAGAAUCCAGCCCUAAUUGGGAGGUACAUCCCUUCUAAGGCUAAAUACCGGUAAGAGACCGAUAGCGAACAAGUACCGCGAGGGAAAGAUGAAAAGGCCUUUGAAAAGAGAGUUAAAAAGUGCUUGAAAUUGUUGAGGGGGAAGUGUAUCAGAGGCGUGUGUGCUCCUAGGCUGUAUGUAGACUCUAACCGGUCUGCCCCUCAGUGCUAGGAGCUGGUCAGCAUGGGUUAGCUUAGUGGGACAAAAGCAGAGAUUGCUACUUUGCCGAUGCCACUUCGCUGUCCGAGGAUUAAGAGCGCUUCGCCUUCGGAGCUGCGUUCUCAUGAUGCUGGCAGAAGCACCUGAUACAGCCCGUCUUGAAACCGGG
rnacentral:rRNA from 1 species